rnacentral:rRNA from 1 species
GACGAACGCUGGCGGCGUGCCUAAUACAUGCAAGUAGAACGCUGAAGGAGGAGCUUGCUUCUCUGGAUGAGUUGCGAACGGGUGAGUAACGCGUAGGUAACCUGCCUGGUAGCGGGGGAUAACUAUUGGAAACGAUAGCUAAUACCGCAUAAUAGUAGAUGUUGCAUGACAUUUACUUAAAAGGUGCAAUUGCAUCACUACCAGAUGGACCUGCGUUGUAUUAGCUAGUUGGUGGGGUAACGGCUCACCAAGGCGACGAUACAUAGCCGACCUGAGAGGGUGAUCGGCCACACUGGGACUGAGACACGGCCCAGACUCCUACGGGAGGCAGCAGUAGGGAAUCUUCGGCAAUGGACGAAAGUCUGACCGAGCAACGCCGCGUGAGUGAAGAAGGUUUUCGGAUCGUAAAGCUCUGUUGUAAGGGAAGAACGAGUGUGAGAGUGGAAAGUUCACACUGUGACGGUAUCUUACCAGAAAGAGACGGCUAACUACGUG